rnacentral:rRNA from 1 species
AACGAACGCUGGCGGCAUGCCUAACACAUGCAAGUCGAACGAGACCUUCGGGUCUAGUGGCGCACGGGUGCGUAACGCGUGGGAACCUGCCCUUAGGUUCGGAAUAACUCCCCGAAAGGGGUGCUAAUACCGGAUAAUGUCUUCGGACCAAAGAUUUAUCGCCUUUGGAUGGGCCCGCGUUGGAUUAGCUAGUUGGUAGGGUAAAAGCCUACCAAGGCGACGAUCCAUAGCUGGUCUGAGAGGAUGAUCAGCCACACUGGGACUGAGACACGGCCCAGACUCCUACGGAAGGCAGCAGUGGGGAAUAUUGGACAAUGGGCGAAAGCCUGAUCCAGCAAUGCCGCGUGAGUGAUGAAGGCCUUAGGGUUGUAAAGCUCUUUUACCCGGGAUGAUAAUGACAGUACCGGGAGAAUAAGCGCCGGCUAACUCCGUG